rnacentral:rRNA from 1 species
AUUGAACGCUGGCGGCAUGCCUUACACAUGCAAGUCGAACGGUAACAGGUCUUCGGAUGCUGACGAGUGGCGAACGGGUGAGUAAUAUAUCGGAACGUGCCCAGUAGUGGGGGAUAACUGCUCGAAAGAGCAGCUAAUACCGCAUACGACCUGAGGGUGAAAGGGGGGGAUCGCAAGACCUCCCGCUAUUGGAGAGGCCGAUAUCAGAUUAGCUAGUUGGUGAGGUAAAGGCCUACCAAGGCAACGAUCAGUAGUUGGUCUGAGAGGACGAACAGCCACACUGGGACUGAGACACGGCCCAGACGCCUACGGGAGGCAGCAGUGGGGAAUUUUGGACUAUGGGCGCAAGCCUGAUCCAGCAAUGCCGCGUGCAGGAAGAAGGCCUUCGGGUUGUAAACUGCUUUUGUCAGGGAAGAAAUCUUCUGGGCUAAUACCCCGGGAGGAUGACGGUACCUGAAGAAUAAGCACCGGCUAACUACGUGCCAGCAGCCGCGGUAA